UUAUGAAGUUUAGGCCCAUGUUUUUAUAUAAUGUAGAUUUUAGUUUUGAAAAUAGUUUAGUUGGGCUAUGCCCAUGUCUUAAUUUUAAUUUUGUUAAAUUGAUGGAAUGACAUGGAAAAAUAGUAAGUUUUUAUUGGUCAACGUAAAUGAGGUGUAUUAAUCGAAAUGUUCUGAUUGGCUGUUGAUUUUAAUGAGGUGUCAAGCUGUGGUUAACUGAAAAAGCUGAGGUGUCAGCACAGGAAAGACUUGUAGUGUUUUAAUGGUGUUGAUUGUAAGCGCACUUUUACAUACUUUGAAAAUUACUUCUCAAAUAGGGAAUAACAUAACACUAGAUUUUAUGAAGAAGAUAAGAAUCCUAUACCAAUAAAAAUGUAAUAUGAUCCCCUUCUUCCCCCAAAAAUAAUGUUGUGACUGUGAAACUAUUGCUGAUGAGAACUCAGAAGGCAUUUUUCUU
rnacentral:sRNA from 1 species